UGGGGAAUAUUGCGCAAUGGGCGAAAGCCUGACGCAGCGACGCCGCGUGAGGGAUGACGGCCUUCGGGUUGUAAACCUCUUUCAGCAGGGAAGAAGCGCAAGUGACGGUACCUGCAGAAGAAGCACCGGCUAACUACGUGCCAGCAGCCGCGGUAAUACGUAGGGUGCGAGCGUUGUCCGGAAUUAUUGGGCGUAAAGAGCUCGUAGGCGGCUUGUCACGUCGGAUGUGAAAACCCGGGGCUCAACCCCGGGCCUGCAUUCGAUACGGGCAGGCUAGAGUUCGGCAGGGGAGACUGGAAUUCCUGGUGUAGCGGUGAAAUGCGCAGAUAUCAGGAGGAACACCGGUGGCGAAGGCGGGUCUCUGGGCCGAUACUGACGCUGAGGAGCGAAAGCGUGGGGAGCGAACAGGAUUAGAUACCC
rnacentral:rRNA from 1 species